rnacentral:rRNA from 1 species
CCUACGGGGGGCAGCAGUAGGGAAUAUUGGUCAAUGGGCGAGAGCCUGAACCAGCCAUGCCGCGUGCAGGAAGAAGGCGUUCUGCGUUGUAAACUGCUUUUAUCUGGGAAGAAAAAGCCCUUGCGAGGGAAAUUGCCGGUACCAGAUGAAUAAGCACCGGCUAACUCCGUGCCAGCAGCCGCGGUAAUACGGAGGGUGCAAGCGUUGUCCGGAUUUAUUGGGUUUAAAGGGUGCGUAGGCGGGUAAUUAAGUCAGUGGUGAAAGCCCACAGCUCAACUGUGGAGGUGCCAUUGAUACUGGUUAUCUUGAGUAUAGAUGAGGCAGGCGGAAUUUACGAUGUAGCGGUGAAAUGCAUAGAUAUCGUAAAGAACCCCGAUAGCGAAGGCAGCUUGCUAAGCUAUAACUGACGCUGAGGCACGAAAGCAUGGGGAGCGAACAGG